GCGGCGGACGGGUGAGUAACACGUGGGCAACCUGCCUAUAAGACUGGGAUAACUUCGGGAAACCGGAGCUAAUACCGGAUAAUUCUUUUCUACACAUGUAGGAAAGCUGAAAGGCGGCUUCGGCUGUCACUUAUAGAUGGGCCCGCGGCGCAUUAGCUAGUUGGUGAGGUAACGGCUCACCAAGGCAACGAUGCGUAGCCGACCUGAGAGGGUGAUCGGCCACACUGGGACUGAGACACGGCCCAGACUCCUACGGGAGGCAGCAGUAGGGAAUCUUCCGCAAUGGACGAAAGUCUGACGGAGCAACGCCGCGUGAGUGAUGAAGGUUUUCGGAUCGUAAAACUCUGUUGUUAGGGAAGAACAAGUACGAGAGUAACUGCUCGUACCUUGACGGUACCUAACCAGAAAGCCACGGCUAACUACGUGCCAGCAGCCGCGGUAAUACGUAGGUGGCAAGCGUUGUCCGGAAUUAUUGGGCGUAAAGCGCGCGCAGGUGGUUCCUUAAGUCUGAUGUGAAAGCCCACGGCUCAACCGUGGAGGGUCAUUGGAAACUGGGGAACUUGAGUGCAGGAGAGAAGAGUGGAAUUCCACGUGUAGCGGUGAAAUGCGUAGAGAUGUGGAGGAACACCAGUGGCGAAGGCGACUCUUU
rnacentral:rRNA from 1 species